AGAGUUUGAUCAUGGCUCAGAUUGAACGCUGGCGGCAGGCCUAACACAUGCAAGUCGAACGGUAACAUUUCUAGCUUGCUAGAAGAUGACGAGUGGCGGACGGGUGAGUAAUGCUUGGGAACUUGCCUUUGCGAGGGGGAUAACAGUUGGAAACGACUGCUAAUACCGCAUAAUGUCUACGGACCAAACGGGGCUUCGGCUCCGGCGCAAAGAGAGGCCCAAGUGAGAUUAGCUAGUUGGCAAGGUAACGGCUUACCAAGGCGACGAUCUCUAGCUGUUCUGAGAGGAAGAUCAGCCACACUGGGACUGAGACACGGCCCAGACUCCUACGGGAGGCAGCAGUGGGGAAUAUUGCACAAUGGGGGAAACCCUGAUGCAGCCAUGCCGCGUGUGUGAAGAAGGCCUUCGGGUUGUAAAGCACUUUCAGUUGUGAGGAAAAGUUAGUAGUUAAUACCUGCUAGCCGUGACGUUAACAACAGAAGAAGCACCGGCUAACUCCGUGCCAGCAGCCGCGGUAAUACGGAGGGUGCGAGCGUUAAUCGGAAUUACUGGGCGUAAAGCGCACGCAGGCGGUUUGUUAAGCUAGAUGUGAAAGCCCCGGGCUCAACCUGGGAUGGUCACUUAGAACUGGCAGACUAGAGUCUUGGAGAGGGGAGUGGAAUUCCAGGUGUAGCGGGUGAAAUGCGUAGAUAUCUGGAGGAACAUCAGUGGCGAAGGCGACUCCCUGGCCAAAGACUGACGCUCAUGUGCGAAAGUGUGGGUAGCGAACAGGAUUAGA
rnacentral:rRNA from 1 species